AAGUAUCACUUCAUUAGGGAGAAGUUAGCUUCUAGUGAUUUUAUUUUGCUUAAAAUUGCAACUGAUGAAACCCUGCAGAUGUUGGAACAAAAGUACUUGCGGUUGGUAAGUUUAACAAAUGUUUAUCAAUACUAAGUAUUGAUAAUGGUUAAUUGUUGUGCAGGUACUAAGUUGGAGUGAGCGAUGAUGAUAAAAAUAAGACCACAAUAAUAGAUAUCACUUGUAACCGGGGAAUUUGGCGAUGGAUGUUAUGUGAUUCAUGGUGAAGAUUUGAAAGAUGGAUCACAACAUAGUAUUGGUGCAAGUUGAUUGGUCCAGAGAAUAUGACUUCGAUUGUGCUAGUUAUGGGAUGAUAUGGACCAUAGAUUAAAUCCAAUUGUUGGAUUUAAUCUAGUGGUCAAUUAAGUAUACUAGUGUUAUCACUCUCUAGACCAUAGUACAAUAUUUGAAUUUUGAAUUCAAUUGGAUUGGCUCUAUAAUUUCAAGACAUCUUCAUUCUCUCUACUUGGACUUGGCAUAACAUUUGAGAGAGAGCAUAGAGAGGUAACCAAGUGGGAGCUUUCCAAAACUCCGACGAAAUUCUUGGUGGCUUCCGACGGAUCCUUUCUCGGUAUAUCUAUUGUCAUUCCUGUGGAAGAUGGUGCAUGAUCCGGUGUGACACAAAUCUGAUCUCAAUAUCAAGAACACUUCAUUGGUGGUGUUGAAGAAGCUUUGAGUCGGUUUUGGUUCGGUUUUACACUUUGAGAGUUUAUCAUUCCGCAUUGUAGUUGUAAUAAUCUUUUGUAUACAACACUUUAAACUCUACAUCCUAUUUCUCAUUUUUUUUGUACUCUUAUCAGAGAAUUCUCCCUUCCGAAUCUUGCAUCAAUUAUCACUAUAGUUUGCUCUGUUGUCAUUAUUUUAUUGUCCAUUGAUCAACUCUUGCUUUGCAUGCAAAAAAAUUCCGCACAUGCGGAAGGAUGACCCAUUCGAAUAGGC
rnacentral:lncRNA from 1 species